rnacentral:sRNA from 1 species
UUCUUCGUCAUAUUUCUAGAAUUAAAAAAAUUCCCAACCAAUAUAUCUAAAUAAAUUAGCGGAAUCUGUAAUUUGAGCUAUCGUCGUUUGGUUUCUUCUGUCCCCAGUUUGAUAAGAAUAGUUCGUAGCGUAGAUGAGAGAAGUUAAUAAACCCA